rnacentral:rRNA from 1 species
AAGGAAUAUUGGACAAUGGGCGGAAGCCUGAUCCAGCCAUGCCGCGUGAAGGAAGAAGGCGCUCAGCGUUGUAAACUUCUUUUAAAUGGGAACAAUAACUCCGACGCGCUCGGGGCUUGAGGGUACCAUUAGAAUAAGCACCGGCUAACUCCGUGCCAGCAGCCGCGGUAAUACGGAGGGUGCAAGCGUUAUCCGGAAUCACUGGGUUUAAAGGGUGCGUAGGCUGUUUGAUAAGUCAGUUGUGAAAUACCCCGGCUUAACCGGCGGUCGUGCGAUUGAUACUGUCAGACUUGAAUCAGGUUGAGGUAGGCGGAAUGUGGCAUGUAGCGGUGAAAUGCAUAGAUAUGCCAUAGAACACCGAUUGCGAAGGCAGCUUGCUGGACCUAGAUUGACGCUGAGGCACGAAAGCGUGGGGAGCAAAC